rnacentral:rRNA from 1 species
AACGAACGCUGGCGGCAGGCUUAACACAUGCAAGUCGAGCACCUCGCCAGAGGAGCGGCAGACGGGUGAGUAACGCGUGGGAACGUACCCUUAUCUUCGGAAUAGCCCUGGUAAACUGGAAGUAAUACCGAAUGUGCCCUUAGGGGGAAAGAUUUAUCGGAUAAGGAUCGGGCCGAGUUGGAUUAGCUAGUUGGUGGGGUAAAGGCCUACCAAGGGGACGAUCCAUAGCUGGUAUGAGAGGCUGAUCAGCCACAUUGGGACUGGGACACGGCCCAGAAUACUACGGGAGGCGGCAGUGGGGAAUCUUGGAAAAUGGGCGCAAGCCUGAUCCAGCCAUGCCGCGUGAGUGAUGAAGGCCUUAGGGUUGUAAAGCUCUUUCACCGGAGAAGAUAAUGACGGUAUCCGGAGAAGAAGCCCCGGCUAACUUCGUG